UACGUAGGGUGCGAGCGUUGUCCGGAAUUACUGGGCGUAAAGAGCUCGUAAGUGGUUUGUCGCGUUGUCCGUGAAAACUCACAACUCAAUUGUGGGCGUGCGGGCGAUACGGGCAGACUGGAGUACUGCAGGGGGAGACUGGAAUUCCUGGUGUAGCGGUGGAAUGCGCAGAUAUCCGGAGGAACACCAGGGGCGAAAGCGGCCGACUGGUCGAGUACUGACGCUGAGGCGCGACGGCGUGGGGAGCAAACCGG
rnacentral:rRNA from 1 species